ensembl:snRNA U12 U12 minor spliceosomal RNA
AUGCCUUAAACUGAUGAGUAAGGAAAAUAACGAUGCGGGGUGACGCCCGCGUCCCUCGUCAACUUACGAGAGCAAUUUUUGUAAGGGCACAGGUCCGGCCGCUGAGGUGACUCACCUACUCUGUGAGAUGCCUCGCGGCGCAAGGAUCUGCCCC